rnacentral:lncRNA from 1 species
CAGAAUUACAUAAUUCGAUGCAAACACAUCUUUCCCAACUAAAUCUCGCUUUUCAUGUUUUUUCCAUGUUUUUUCGCAGAUUUCAGCAGAUUUGUACCACUAAAUCUCGCUUCCAGUUAACCAACUUCUUACGAUCACNAUGGCGGCGGCUUUUCCCUGAGCUCCUGUGAUCGAGUUUGGAUGGGAUGGAGAAGUGGGGAGGAUUGGAUGGCGAAG